rnacentral:misc_RNA from 1 species
ACAAAAGACUUUCCUCUCGUCGGCCACAGGGGAGCGGAAUGCGCGAAAUAUCACCCGAAGACCAGAAAAUAAGCGAAAGGGAGUAAUGUGGAAGCGAUUGAAGGGAGACUAAAAAUAUUAGCGAGCGCCGUGGAGGGUCGGGUCCGCGAGAGAACCAUCGGCUCAGUCGUCGGCGCUGGAGGAGACAAGCUGCGAAGAACACGGCCGAAAGGAGCACGAAGCUUGCAGGUGAAAAUGCAGGACACAGGGUGCUGUACUUAAGGGCUUGGUGGUCCAGGUGCACGGGAGCCGUGGGACAGAAGGAUUAUGGCUGAACAGCAGUUCUGCCUACGGUGGAACAACUUCCAGGCCAACAUUGUAUCAUCAUUCGAAGCUCUAUUAGACCGGGAAGAGUUCGUGGACGUAACGCUCACUGCUGAGGGGAAAUCGUUAAAGGCACACAGGGUAUUACUAUCAGCAUGCAGCCCAUAUUUCAGAGACUUGUUCAGGGAUCUCCCUGCUCACCAGCAUCCAGUCAUAGUUUUGCGUGAUACAAGUUUUUUAGAAUUAAAAUCCCUACUGAGCUUCAUAUACCAUGGAGAAGUUAAUGUUUCUCAAGAAAGACUGGGCCUCCUUCUCAAGACUGCUGAGGCUCUCAGAAUCAAAGGACUUGCUCAAGACAAGAGAACUAGUGAUAGUGAACAUUUUGGGAGCCUUAGCAGUAGUCCAGAGAAGGAGCCAGAAGAGGGCCUUGAUAGAGGUGAACGUCGUGGAGGGGGUCCUGGCUCCCCUGCACUCAGUUUGGCGUUCUCUGGGAUAGGCGGGUCCGCACUGGCCCCCAUCAACCCUCUCGUUCCCCUGGAGCCACCAAGCCACAAGCCACCACAUCUGUUACACUCACCACCAGCUAAGCGACGUAAACCCCUCCAUUCACCUAUUGGAGGACCCCCCAUUAUCACCCCACCCCCACAACGAGAGAAUAAUGUUCCACAAGUACCACCCGUUACCUCCACUGCCUCACAUGAUGAAGAUAACUCUGCAGGUAAAGUAAUCAACUUGACGAUGGGUGCAACAAACUCUGGAGGAGGAGGUGGUGGUGGAUCACCAUCUCCCCGACUAGUACCCAAGACGGAAUUGAGCCUAUCUGAGGAAGAUGGACCAGGCAGAGGUAGUAGUGGUGGAGGUGGAGGUGGUGGUGGGGGGGAAGGCAGUAGUGAUCAUGAGGCAGAAGAGCCCCAUGAAGAAGACUCUGCUGACCAUGAUAUGUCAAAUACUUCAGCUCAAGACCUGCACAGCUUACCCCAACACCUCUCAGCAGCAGUACAAAACUUUGUGCCAUAUGCAGCAGCAGCAGCAGCAGCAGGAUCCUCACAGCUGGACACCUUCCCGGGGCCAUCAGGAGUGUUGCCUCCCGCUAGUCAGGCAGGGUGGAGAGGGGGCCACACAGAAUCCAGUGACACCUCAGCUCAAGGUCACACCAACAAACCUGCAUGCUACAUCUGUGGGAAGGUGAUUUCUAAUGUGCAAAACCUUUACAAACACAUCCGGACAAUCCACCAGCGUCAAGUGUCUCGCUGUGAUUACUGUGGUUCAGUGUUCCGUAAUGCCGAAUCGGCUCGUAAGCACGUGCUGAAAAUGCACAGAAAUGAUCUCAGCCAAGGUCGUGGGCUGUCCAUGGUGGAGCCCGUGGUGGAGCCAGUGGUCUGUGGGGGCUGGACCCCCUCCACAUGCACCACUUCUUCACCUCAUAUUGAACAGCUGCAUCAACAUUCCAUGAAGAGCGAGGACCUCACUUAGUAGGCUCUACUCCAAUAUUUGCUUGGUAUCUUCCUGCUUGUGCUUAGUGAACUUGUCUGAAAGUUUAGUUCCAACACUUGUUACCAUUUGUAUGUUUUUUAGAACAAAUAAUGUAUAUAGAAAUUUAUAUGAAUGUUAACUAUUGUGAUGUCUUAUCUUGAAUGUCACAUUUAUGAACUUAUAGGAAGAGGAUCACGUACUACUAAUACCUGAAGAUUAAUGGAUCAUACCUGAAUAGCAGAUAGCCAGCUUACUCUCCUGUUAGCUGCCAGUGUGAUAUGUUUGUAGUAUGAUGAUUAGACCCAUUAAAGGUGGUCAUCCUGUAUUUAAUGAAUUGUUGUGCGGUGACGGUGGUUACGGGGGGAAGAAGGCGGUACCCACGCCUUGUCCAGUGUGCGGCAAAGUACUCUCCAACGCUUACAAUAUGCGCGUUCACCUGGAGACAC